rnacentral:rRNA from 1 species
GAGUUUGAUCCUGGCUCAGGACGAACGCUGGCGGCGUGCCUAACACAUGCAAGUCGAACGGACGAUGCCCCUUCGGGGACAAAGUUAGUGGCGGACGGGUGAGUAACGCGUGAGCAACCUGCCUUUCAGAGGGGGACAACAGUUGGAAACGACUGCUAAUACCGCAUGAAGCAGCGGGGCCGCAUGGCCUUGCUGUUAAAGAUUUAUCGCUGAAAGAUGGGCUCGCGUCUGAUUAGCUAGUUGGCGGGGUAACGGCCUAUCAAGGCGACGAUCAGUAGCCGGACUG